rnacentral:rRNA from 1 species
CCUACGGGAUGCAGCAGUGAGGAAUAUUGGUCAAUGGGCGUAAGCCUGAACCAGCCAAGUCGCGUGAGGGAUGAAGGUUCUAUGUAUCGUAAACCUCUUUUAUCAGGGAAUAAAGUGUGGGACGUGUCCUAUUUUGUAUGUACCUUAUGAAUAAGGAUCGGCUAACUCCGUGCCAGCAGCCGCGGUAAUACGUAGGUUGCAAGCGUUAUCCGGAAUGACUGGGCUUAAAGGGUGCGUAGGUGGUUUAGUAAGUUGGCGGGGUAAUUCCGGGGCUCAACCUCGGCGCUACCGCCAAAACUAGUAGACGCGAGUGCAGGAGGGGUAAGUGGAAUGCCUGGUGUAGCGGUGGAAUGAGUAGAUAUUAGGAGGAACAGCAGGGGCGAAGGCGACUUACUGGACUGUAACUGACACUGAGGCACGAAAGCGUGGGGAGCAAACAGGAUUAGAUACCCGGGUAGUC